GAUGAACGCUGGCAGCGUGCCUAAUACAUGCAAGUCGAACGAAACUUCUUUAUCACCGAGUGCUUGCACUCACCGAUAAAGAGUUGAGUGGCGAACGGGUGAGUAACACGUGGGCAACCUGCCCAAAAGAGGGGGAUAACACUUGGAAACAGGUGCUAAUACCGCAUAACCAUAGUUACCGCAUGGUAACUAUGUAAAAGGUGGCUAUACUACCGCUUUUGGAUGGGCCCGCGGCGCAUUAGCUAGUUGGUAGGGUAAAGGCUUACCAAGGCAAUGAUGCGUAGCCGAAUUGAGAGGUUGAUCGGCCACAUUGGGACUGAGACACGGCCCAAACUCCUACGGGAGGCAGCAGUAGGGAAUCUUCCACAAUGGGCGAAAGCCUGAUGGAGCAACGCCGCGUGGGUGAAGAAGGUCUUCGGAUCGUAAAACCCUGUUGUUAGAGAAGAAAGUGCGUGAGAGUAACUGUUCACGUUUCGACGGUAUCUAACCAGAAAGCCACGGCUAACUACGUG
rnacentral:rRNA from 1 species